ensembl:lncRNA
CGAGCUUAUGUUAGCCUCGCAGAAUUAAUUUAUGCCGAAAGUUUAUACUAACCUUCCGGAGUUAAUGCGUCUGUGAGUUUAUGUUAACCUCUCAGACUCAAUUAUUAGGUCUGUCUGCCCUCUUUAGAACAUACUUCCAAAACUUUUUUCCUAAAGUGCAUUCCUCAACACAUUUCAUUUAUCCAUUUAAUCACUCCUUUCUCCCCCCCUCCACACUCCCAUGUAUCCCAUGAUUUAUGGUAAACGUGUGCAAGGAGUAAUAUUGGCAAAUAAGUGGACUUGUUUACAACAACACAAAGGCUACAAGACUCUCAUUCAUCCGUCAUGGGACAACAGCGGCGCGUCAAUGAGGGUUUCCGGAAAAAAAUGCCUCAGUGGCUUAAAGCGUUGGCUUAGCCUCUACAUUCAAAGUCAAAACUGUUUUUCUUAUUCCGGCUAGAAAGACCUGCCGAGCUCACAAAGGUUCCUACCCUAUAUAGGCUGACCCGCCCAUCAAUCAGAUGCUGCCAUACAUCAUAAAUCGCCUCUUACAGGCAGUGUGUCUAUGUGUACAUCUAAAUAUUAAUGAUCUAUGUGUACAUCUAAAUAUU